rnacentral:rRNA from 1 species
UACGUAGGGUGCAAGCGUUGUCCGGAAUUAUUGGGCGUAAAGCGCACGUAGGCGGCUUGGCAAGUCGGAUGUGAAAUCCCUCGGCUCAACCAAGGAAGUGCAUCCGAAACUGCUGAGCUUGAGUACUUAAGAGGAUCGCGGAAUUCCCGGUGUAGAGGUGAAAUUCGUAGAUAUCGGGAGGAACACCAGUGGCGAAGGCGGCGAUCUGGGAAGAUACUGACGCUGAGGUGCGAAAGCGUGGGGAGCAAACAGG